rnacentral:tRNA from 1 species
GGGGAUAUAGCUCAGUUGGUAGAGUGCCUGCCUCAUAUACACAAGGCCCUGGGUUCAAUCCCCAGCACCACCA